GAAUCCCGUCUUUGGCACGGAUGCACCAGGGCUUUUGUGAUGCGCUCUCGAAGAGUCGAGUUGUUUGGGAAUGCAGCUCAAAAUGGGUGGUGAACUCCAUCUAAAGCUAAAUAUUGGCGAGAGACCGAUAGCGAACAAGUACCGUGAGGGAAAGAUGAAAAGCACUUUGGAAAGAGAGUGAAACAGUACGUGAAAUUGUUGAAAGGGAAACGCUUGAAGUCAGUCGCGUCGACCGAGACUCAGCCUUGCCUCGGCUCGGUGUACUUCUCGGCCGACGGGCCAGCAUCAAUUUUGCCCCUCGGAUAAUGGCGAGAGAAAGGUGGCACCCUCACGGGUGUGUUAUAGUCUCCCGUCGGAUGCGAGGGUCGGGAUUGAGGAACUCGGCACGUACCGUGCUUAGGAUGUUGGCAUAAUGGCUUUAAACGACCCGUCUUGAAACACGGACCAAGGAGUCUAACAUGCCCGCGAGUGUUCGGGUGGAAAACCCGUGCGCGUAAUGAAAGUAAAAGUUGGGACCCCUGUCGUGGGGGGCACCGACGCCCGGACCAGACCUUCUGUGACGGAUCUGCGGUAGAGCGUGCAUGUUGGGACCCGAAAGAUGGUGAACUAUGCCUGAAUAGGGUGAAGCCAGAGGAAACUCUGGUGGAGGCUCGUAGCGAUUCUGACGUGCAAAUCGAUCGUCAAAUUUGGGUAUAGGGGCGAAAGACUAAUCGAACCAUCUAGUAGCUGGUUCCUGCC
rnacentral:rRNA from 1 species